GGGCCACCAAAUGAAAUUACAAAAAUUAAACAGGAUUCCUAAAUUGGUUGGACAAACCCAAACUCAGGCAACUGGACCAGCCAAGGUUGUUACGCUGGGUCCUGCAGGGGUGACUCUGGAUCGGUCAGGCAUGUGAGCACUUCCGGGCGGAUGCGGGUCAUUUGAUUCAAUGGAGCUUUUGUAGAGUAGAUAAGAAGGACAGUCACACAGGAAGAGUCAGGGAGAAGGAUGGUGGACACAUUGAAGCAGAACUCUCAGGCAGCCACCCCUCCUCUACACAGCAGAGCCGGAUGGCGUCCCAGUCCGCUGCGUCGUAGGUAAUGUAGUCCUUGGCUCCUCCGCCCAUCCUUCG